CUUAAAAUGAUUCUCCUCCUACAAGACAGUAACACCUGAAAUCCUCCCCUCCCCUUUUUUAUUUUGGUAAAAGGGCAAGGAUCAGGAAGUUUUGCACAGCUAUGGGAAACAAAAGUGUAUCAAUUCAGAUAAUUUCUACACAGGGCAUCCAGGCAGUGCAGCAAUGAAAGAGAUGCAGUAAAGUGCAAUAAAGAUGAAGCCUGUCAGUCCUGCUGCAUUUCUUGUACGGCUGGCUUCUCAGAAGUGUAAGCUUUCAGCGAUGAAGAAGAGGGCCUCUCUGGUGCUGCUGCUCUGAUUCCCUUCCCGCAAAGGCUCACCUGGUGCCUAACUUAAGAGCCUUUUGAAACCAGCAACUCCAUCCCAAGAGACAUCUGCUAUGAGGAGCGAUAAACUGAGAAACGGAAUAAUUACCACAGCUUGCGCUGUCUCAAACAACCUUCGGUGCUCACAUUUAAAUUGCUGGCACGGAAAGCCAAGAAUAUAACAGGGUAAAACAAGUUCCCAGCCACAUCUGCCCCAAAGCAAAUGUUUCUUUGCCACAUGAAGGAAACUGAAGCUUUUAUUUACAGACGUCCUCCAGCCGGUGUUAAAUGAAGCCAAUCUGGUUCCCAGGAUAUGAUUCUACUGUGUUAAAUGAUGGGAACACUACUGUGCCUUUCUCCCCAUAGAGGACUCCGUGGCCUAUCGGAGAAUUGCAAGUUGGGAAGGACUGACUUGGAAUCCCAUUUUUCAACGCGAAGUGGCUACUUCCCACCCACCCCUCUGAAGUUAGCCCCGGAGGCUGUGUGGGAUGAUCUGUGGGCUUCUGAUCAGAGGGAAAGAAUGGCAGCAGUUUUAUUCCAAAACGCAGCUGUGGAUUAAUAUCACAAAGAAGAGUUUAGCUGGGCUUUUUUUCUUUUCUUUUCACAGUUCAUUCACAUAAUGAAUGUGAAUGUCAAGACACCUUCAUCUGAAGUCUGAGCGCUUUGGAACAAAGCAAAACAAAACAAAUUUAGUGGAGGUGUCAAGUUUCAGGAACGCAGGAGCGGAGGUGGCGAAAAGCUCCACACAGGCUCAGCAAUUGCUUUCUCUUCCAUCAUCCUGCCUGGAUAAAAUAUGACCACACUCCUGUCUUCAGCUCCACCCACUCCCAAAGGAAGAGACGGUUGAGAAUGUCUACAGCUUUGGCGCGUGAAAGGGCUGCAGUUUCUAUGAGACAAGCUGUAUU